AAGGAAAUAGAUCAGUUGGUUACCCCUAAACGCGUAGCGUUUUGGGGGCUUGAGAGCGCAACCUUGCCAAGGUUGAGGUCGCGGGUCCGAGUCCCGUUUUCCGCU
rnacentral:tRNA from 1 species